rnacentral:rRNA from 1 species
GACGAACGCUGGCGGCGUGCUUAAUACAUGCAAGUCGAACGGAAAGGCCCUGCUCUUGCGUGGUGCUCGAGUGGCGAACAGGUGAGUAUCACGUGAGUAACCUGCCCCUGACUUUCGGAUAACACCAGGAAACUGCGGCUCUAAUACCAUAUGAUCUCUUGCUGCACGGUGGUGGUUGGAGAGUUUCGGCGGUGGGGGAUGGACUCGCGGCUUAUCAGCUUCUUUGUGGGGUAGUGGAUUACCAAGGCUUUGACGGAUAGCCGGCCUGAGAGGCUGACCGGCCUCAUUGGUACUGAGAUACGGCCCAGACGCCUACGGGAGGCAGCAGUGGAGAAUAUUGCACAAUGGGCGGAAGCCUGAUGCAGCAACGCCGCGUGCGGGAUGACGGCCUUCGGGUUAUAAACCGCUUUCGCCUGCGACGAAGCGUGAGUGACGGUAAUGGGUAAAGAAGCACCGGCUAACUACGUG